rnacentral:rRNA from 1 species
UACGUAGGAGGCGAGCGUUGUCCGGAAUUACUGGGCGUAAAGCGCGCGUAGGCGGGGCGCUGCGUCGGCGGUGAAAGCCCACGGCUCACCCGUGGGAGUGCCGCCGAUACGGGCGCUCUUGGAGGGCGGUAGGGGCCGGUGGAACGCCCGGAGUAGCGGUGAAAUGCGUUGAGAUCGGGCAGAACACCAGUGGCGAAGGCGGCCGGCUGGGCCGACCCUAACGCUGAGGCGCGAAAGCCGGGGGAGCGAACGGA